GAUGAACGCUAGCGGGAGGCCUAACACAUGCAAGCCGAGCGGUAUUGUUUCUUCGGAAAUGAGAGAGCGGCGUACGGGUGCGUAACACGUGUGCAACCUGCCUUUAUCUGGGGGAUAGCCUUUCGAAAGGAAGAUUAAUACUCCAUAAUAUAUUGAACGGCAUCGUUUAAUAUUGAAAGCUCCGGCGGAUAGAGAUGGGCACGCGCAAGAUUAGCUAGUUGGUGAGGUAACGGCUCACCAAGGCGAUGAUCUUUAGGGGGCCUGAGAGGGUGAUCCCCCACACUGGUACUGAGACACGGACCAGACUCCUACGGGAGGCAGCAGUGAGGGAUAUUGGUCAAUGGGUGCAAGCCUGAACCAGCCAUCCCGCGUGAAGGACGACUGCCCUAUGGGUUGUAACCUUCUUUUGUAUAGGGAUAAACCUACCCUCGAGAGGGUAGCUGAAGGUACUAUACGAAUAAGCACCGGCUAACUCCGUG
rnacentral:rRNA from 1 species